AAAAAAGAUAAACUUCCAACAUUUCAAAAUAAGCACUCAUUCAACAUUAAAAUAUGGGCAAUCUAUUAUCUAUGUAAGUACAGAAUGUGGUGUAACUCUCUAAAAUGUGUCUAUUAAUACAAAAGGAACAACUACUUUAAAGCCAUCCUAUAGUUUAGUAAACUACACUACAGAUUUGUCAGAAAUUACUUGCAAAUUAAGCACAUUCCUUUAUACCUCUGUACCUUCCUUCCUGCUUCAAGAUACCGUCACAGAAUGAACAUAUACAACUUAAAUUAGUUGAUUUUCCAGGGUGCUUCACUUCUCCUCUCCCCGUGCAACACGACUACAGUUUAAGUUCACAUAAAUUGAUACUUAGCACCGGUAAUUCAGUCUCUUUAAAACCAGUUUAAUUUUCAAAGUUCUAAUAAGAUGUGUUCAGGUUGAAAACUAAAAACUACCUUAUAAGGGUAUAAAAGAUUGAAAGCAGGAAGCGGGUUUGACAAAACUAAGGAAGUUGCAGCGCGCUUGCUCACUGAGGGACUUUUUUGAGGCUUGAGAAGUAACACAUGACAUCUUUCUCUCUCGAAUUAAAAUGUGACUGGGUUCACUGGUAAAAAAACGAAGAGGGAGAUGGAAAUGACCGGGAGUCGAAAAGAGAAGAUGAAGAUGCUAGAGGAGGAUUCUUUGCUGCUUCUUCCACUGUCAGAUAGUACCCUGUGAGUGCCAAACAGGAGCAUCUUAUUUGCAGAGAUUUCAAAUCAAUGGAAACUUUGAACAGCUAUAACUUUUCUGUAUACUUUCCUGCCACGAGAAAGAACAAUGACAGCAAUCUCCCAUCAAAAGGGAAACCAUGGGGAAUGGAGCAGAGUGCACAAAGGCUGAUGCCCACGCUGAGCCCAAAAUAGUUCCAAGUGGAUUUGCCUGAACAAAAAAAAAGAUGUCAUCAGCACCCAGAGUAGAAGAAGAAGAAAGAGAAGUAUGAGGAAGAGGAGGAGAAGGAUGAAGAAGAGGGGAAAUGAGAAGAAGAAGAAGAAAGAGAACCCCAAUAGGCAUUUUCACAUGGGAAGAAUUUGUGUCUUAACCUCAGUGCAGAAGGCAUGACAGAUCUUCCCCUACAGGAGAAAAUAAAAGAAAGCCCCUGUGAACUCGACAAGAUAGCUGUUGAUUCUCUGCCUAAAGGAGAGAGCAAAGCUGAGAGAACUGUGUGAGACAGUAGGCAGAAGUUGCCUCAGUAGCACAACUGCUCUCUCUGUGACAAGCAGAGGCCCAGUUUCAGCAAGGAUGGGCUGAGUACACACACUGGCCAAAUACUGCAUCGGAUGCCAGAGAUGUGAAGACGAGGAGAACAUGGUCCUUUAUCCUAAGCACCGCAAAGCUUAGUGGGGAAGGACAAAUGGAACCAACAAUGGAACACAUCGUGAUUGUGGUUGAUGUUAAAAAGGAGCCGAGAUGAAAAGUACUCUGUGGUCACAUUAGAGGGAGAAUGGCCAGCUCUAAUGAAGGGUAGGAGAGAAGCCAUCACAGCAGGCAGAAUGCAGGUGCCAGGUAGGUCUUCAUGUUGGGUCUGGCCAGCAGUUAUUAUGUGACAAUGAAUUAAACUAUGGAGUUUAUUGACAGCUCAUGUUUGUACUAAUUCUUCUAUUUUCUUAAUGAUCUUUUCAAUUUAAACAUGUUUAUUUCACAAGUGUGUAUGCAUGUGUGAAUGUAAGUAUACAUACAUAUAUGUAUGCGUGUGUGCGAGUGUACAUAGAAAAUGCAAGACUUUCUUUGAUGACUCUUGCUUCUGCUUCUCCAGCUUAAAUGUUCAAGUGCUUAAAUGCUUGAAGCUAUGCUUCUUCUGUUAUACAUUGUAGAUAUAAAUAGUGAUUUCUCCUGCAAAAGCUGAAACUGGUGUCAGUUUACUGUACAGUUAUUAAUACAUACGUAUGUGUGUGUGUGUUUAUAUGCGUACACCCCUUUGACGCUAAUUCCAACAAUACUCUCCUUUCUUCCAUCUUUACUUUCCAUUCUGUAAUUUCUUCACCGUCCUUGUCCUACAAUUGGCCAGCAUCAACCAGCCAGGGCCCAGCAAUGAGUGCCAGGAUCCCUGGAAAAAGAGAAAGCUGGAGAGACCCAAUGUCAUGGUCUCAUUUGUAGCUCCUGUCAAAGCUCCAUGCCAUUCAGCAACUUCCAAAUAGGUCUCACUUUGGGGAGUGCUGCUGUCUUUACUUUGAGCAGGUGCUCUGUGCCCAGCGCUGCUGUCUUGUUAGCCCUUGAGAGUUUUUCUCUUAAUAGUGUAUUUGCUGGAGCACUCUGUUUCUACCUGUUUAAAGCUGUCCCAUCUCUCCUGCAGCUUUCUCAAAGUCGCACUGGUCCAAGGAAAAGGGACUUAUUCCUCUCACAUGUAACAGGAGGAAAGCUCGAAGUAGUGUCACCUAAUAAAGAUUGAUGUUGAUGCCUAUUGUUGAUUGAAAAUAGUCUUUGGCCCAGUGGCCAAAGACUAUUUUCUGUGCUGGUCCAGUAGGCACCACUCCCCACCCCCGCUGCUGAAAUUCAGUAGCAGAAAUGUCUGCUGUUCAUCAUUCCCUACCCACUCCUGGGUAGUGGAACAGUCUUGGUUGAAGCUUACCUCACAUCCCCAAAAGCACUUUGAAAACUGUAGUGCAUCAUACCAACAUAGGGCGUUACUACAAUGAUGUUAGAAACAGCAACCUAUUAAAGAGUUAAAUUUUUCUGCGUAGAUCACACCCGUCCCUAUUCAUUUAUUAAUAUUCAUGUGAACUACUUUGGGACAAAUUUGUCUUGUUGUUCCUUGGUAUCAUUAAGAGGCUACCCAUAUGAUUGCAGAGGGGUACAAAGGAGACUUCAACUUUUCAGGAAUAUUCCUUCAUUUAAAAAAUGUGAUGAAU